CGCUGGCGGCGUGCUUAACACAUGCAAGUCGAACGAGAGGACAAGAGAAGCUUGCUUCUUUUGGAAUCGAGUGGCAAACGGGUGAGUAACACGUAAACAACCUGCCUUCAGGAUGGGGACAACAGACGGAAACGACUGCUAAUACCGAAUACGCUUGGGAGACCGCAUGAUCUUCCAAGGAAAGGGUGGCCUCUACUUGUAAGCUAUCGCCUGAAGAGGGGUUUGCGUCUGAUUAGGCAGUUGGUGAGGUAACGGCCCACCAAACCUACGAUCAGUAGCCGGUCUGAGAGGAUGAACGGCCACACUGGAACUGAGACACGGUCCAGACUCCUACGGGAGGCAGCAGUGGGGAAUCUUCCGCAAUGGGCGAAAGCCUGACGGAGCAACGCCGCGUAAGUGAUGACGGCCUUCGGGUUGUAAAGCUCUGUGAUCGGGGACGAACGGUCCGUAAGCCAAUACCUUAUGGAAGUGACGGUACCCGAAUAGCAAGCCACGGCUAACUACGUG
rnacentral:rRNA from 1 species